rnacentral:rRNA from 1 species
UACAUGGGGUGCAAACGUUGCUCGGAAUUAUUGGGCGUAAAAGCGCACGUAGGCGGUUCGUUUAAGUCAGAUGUGAAAAGCCCCUCGGCUCAACCGAGGAAAGUGCAUCUGAAAACUGGCGAGCUAGAGUACUAAAGAGGGUCGCGGAAUUCCCGGUGUAGAGGUGAAAAUUUCGUAGAUAUCGGGAGGAACACCGGUGGCG